UACGUAGGGUGCGAGCGUUAAUCGGAAUUACUGGGCGUAAAGUGUGCGCAGGCGGCAGAGCAAGUCGAGUGUGAAAGCCCCGGGCUUAACUUGGGAAUUGCGCUCGAAACUACUUUGCUGGAGUGUGGCAGAGGAAGGUGGAAUUCCACGUGUAGCGGUGAAAUGCGCAGAUAUCAGGAAGAACACCCGUGGCGAAGGCGGCUCUCUGGGACGGUACUGACGCUGAGGCACGAAGGCCAGGGGAGCAAACGGG
rnacentral:rRNA from 1 species